AACCUCUCGCACAUUGGCAGUAUCAUAGCCAAUGAGAUUUAUCCGAGGCACGAUUAUUGCCAAUUGAAAACUUUUCCCAAACCUCUCUGUGUACUCGCUUUGGUCAGCUUACCUACACCAGAUGGUGAUCAGAAUUCCAAAUUCUGAAUCAUGUGUUAUUAG
ensembl:snRNA U4 U4 spliceosomal RNA